GGGGGCCCAGCAAUGGGCAACCGGCGAACGGGUGCGUAACACGUGAGCAACCUACCGAAGUGUGGGGGAUAGCCGGCCUAACGGCCGAGUAAUACCGCAUACGAUUCCGAAGAGGCAUUUCUUUGGAAUGAAACCUACGGGACACUUCGAGGGGCUCGCGGCCUAUCAGCUAGUUGGUGAGGUAACGGCUCACCAAGGCAACGACGGGUAGCUGGUCUGAGAGGAUGGCCAGCCACAUUGGGACUGAGAAACGGCCCAGACUCCUACGGGAGGCAGCAGUGGGGAAUCUUGCGCAAUGGCCUAACGGCUGACGCAGCGACGCCGCGUGAGGGAUGAAGCUCUUCGGAGUGUAGACCUCUGUUGCCCGGGACGAACAGCUCGUUUAUACGAGCCUGACGGUACCGGGUGAGGAAGCACCGGCUAACUCCGUGCCAGCAGCCGCGGUAAUACGGGGGGUGCGAGCGUUGUCCGGAAUCACUGGGCGUAAAGGGCGCGUAGGUGGUCUGAUAAGGGUGUGGUGAAAGUCCGGGGCUCAACCCCGGAUCUGCCGUGCCGACUGUCAGACUCGAGGACUGUAGAGGCAGGCGGAAUUCCGGGUGUAGCGGUGGAAUGCGUAGAGAUCCGGAGGAAGACCGGUGGCGAAGGCGGCCUGCUGGGCAGUUUCUGACACUGAGGCGCGACAGCGUGGGGAGCAAACAGGAUUAGAUACCCUGGUAGUCCACGCCGUAAACGAUGGGUACUAGGUGCCUGGGGGAGCGACCCUCUGGGUGCCGGCGCUAACGCAGGAAGUACCCCGCCUGGGGAGUACGGCCGC
rnacentral:rRNA from 1 species